UGGAGUGGUCGAUCCCUCACUUUGUGUGGGUAUUUGACUGUCUCCGCUCCAUCCUUGGGUGGAAUCUGUGUGGCAUUAAGUUGUCGUGCANGGGAUGCCCAUCUUUUACUGUGAAAAAAUAAGAGUGUUCAAAGCAGGCUUAUGCCGUUGAAUUUGUUAGCAUGGAAUAAUAAGAUAGGACUCUGGUGCUAUUUUGUUGGUUUGCGCACCGAAGUAAUGAUAAAUANGGACAGUUGGGGGUAUUCGUAUUGCGUUGUCAGAGGUGAAAUUCUUGGAUUUUCGCAAGACGAACUACUGCGAAAGCAUUUACCAAGGAUGUUUUCAUUAAUCAAGAACGAAAGUUAGGGGAUCGAAGAUGAUUAGANACCAUCGUAGUCNUANCCAUAANCUAUGCCGACAAGGGAUUGGUGGGCGUUGUAUUGACCUCAUCAGCACCUUAUGAGAAAUCACAAGUCUUUGGGUUCCGGGGGGAGUAUGGUAAGUUCACACUUUAUUUUAGAUUUUAAUCACGAUCUGAUCAUA
rnacentral:rRNA from 1 species